rnacentral:lncRNA from 1 species
CAGGGGGUACAUAGGGGUGAGUGAGAAAGGUUUUUCCGGGGGGGUUGGACGGUUUGGAUUUUGCAGAUAAAUGGUUUAAAUUCGUUUAUCACCAUUUAAUUCAUUAGAAAUUGUAGAAAUGUCCAAACAUAGUGAAACCAAUUUUAUUAGAAUUUUUUUAUUUUCCUUUAUGCAUUAAAAUUCUUAAACCUAGGAAAAAUAAUAAAAUUUUGGUAUCUAUUUAAAUCCUUUUGAUUAAGGUAUUUAAAUAAAUGCUUAACUUAUUA